CUUGACAUACAUGAGAGGUCCAGCCUGCCCAGUGACUAAGUUCAACGGCCGCGGUAUCCUAACCGUGCGAAGGUAGCGUAAUCACUUGUUCUUUAAAUGAGGACUAGUAUGAAUGGCACCACGAGGGUUGUACUGUCUCCUUUUUUUAAUCAAUGAAACUGAUCUCCCCGUGAAGAAGCGGGGAUAAAAAUAUAAGACGAGAAGACCCUAUGGAGCUUUAAACAAUUAUAGCACUGGCCCACAUCUCCUAUUCUUCUGAGAUAUAACUAUUAUACAGGCCAACAUGACUAUUAGUUUUAGGUUGGGGUGACCGCGGAGCAAAAACCAACCUCCACGUUGAACGGAGCUAUUCCUGAGCUGAAAACUACAACUUUAAGCACCAAUAAACUGACAUUAAUUGACCCAACAUGUUGAGCAACGAAC
rnacentral:rRNA from 1 species